UUGCCAGCCCGCUCAGAAACUCAAAGGAAUUGACGGGGCCCGCACAAGCGGAGGAGCAUGUGGUUUAAUUCGAUGAUACGCGAGGAACCUUACCUGGGCUCGAACGUAAGAUGACUGUAGGUGAAAGCUUACAUCUCUUCGGAGCAUUUUACGAGGUGCCGCAUGGUUGUCGUCAGCUCGUGCCGUGAGGUGUCGGGUUAAGUCCCAUAACGAGCGCAACCCUACCUUUAGUUGCCAUCAGGUAAUGCUGGGGACUCUAAAGGAACUGCCUACGCAAGUAGUGAGGAAGGCGGGGAUGACGUCAAAUCAGCACGGCCCUUACGUCCAGGGCUACACACGUGCUACAAUGGCCGAUACAGAGGGCAGCUACCUGGUGACAGGAUGCAAAUCUCCAAAGUCGGUCUCAGUUCGGAUCGGAGUCUGCAACCCGACUCCGUGAAGUUGGAUUCGCUAGUAAUCGCGCAUCAGCCAUGGCGCGGUGAAUACGUUCCCGGGCCUU
rnacentral:rRNA from 1 species